UGUAACCUUUGCAAACCCUGCAAUAUCUAAUGGUAAGGUAAAGGUAAGGGAUACGAUUUAAAAAUUUUGUUUUUAGUUUGUAAAGUCUUGUUUGUUGUAGUUAGCUAAUGUGUAAAAAUUUGGUUUUUAGUUUGUAAGGGCUUGUCUCCCUAUUGUUUUUUUCACACCCACGCACACACUAACUCUUCUGAUAAGACAUAAGAGUUGUAAUUUCUGUCUCCUAAGCAAGAUAUGGUACUAGUUGUUUGACAAAGACAUGGAGAAAUUAGAAGGUAGCAUAGUCUUUCAGGUUCCUUUUAUUUUAUAGCCUUUUAUGUAUUUCAAAUAUAGGGUAAAAUAUCAUGUGUGAAAAUUUGGGUUCACUCCCUAGUCCCUAUUGCUGUACUGUGAUGCCAUAAUUUACUUAAAAACUGCCCUGCCCUUGAAAUAUAUCUGUGUUGAAUUUUGUUAUGUUGAGUGAGGGAGAGUGAGAAUGUCUUGGAGCUUUAAAUGAGGUUCAAAUGAGAGUGAAAUCUGUUAUCUAGUUAUAUCUUUUUUUUUUCUUUUUUUUUUAAAGUUCUUCAUUAUUUCAGUUUCAAGAAAUGUCUUUAGCAGCAAGAGGGGGAUAUGGAAAAGCUGGUGUCUGAUCAUCACAGUCUCAGCCACAACCUUCUGGUUGUGCUUGAAAAAUAGGGAAGCAUGUUUUAUUUAGUUAUUACUUUUUUAUACUUAUUCAUUCUUUUUUACCAAUUUUUCUGAUUAUGUGAUCAUAUGUAACAAUAUUGGACACGGCUCCCACUUAUUUAAUUUUGACUGUUCAAACAAAAAAUGAGGGGAAAAUACCUAUUCAUUUUUAGGACCUGCAUCAUGAGCUUGAAGCUGAAUGAUGAUCCUGAGAGCGGUUACACUUUUCCACUUCCAGAAACAAAAAAGAAAAAGAUGCUCUGGUUGACCAUGGAUAAAAGCAUAAUUUUUAUCCCUACCUUAAUUAGUAUUCUAUUUUUACUGUUAGAAACUGCCUAUAUUUUAUGAAAGCAUUUGGAUAAUUGGUAUAUUAGUUUUCAUCAGUUGUGAGGUUUUAUACUUGGGUAGAAAUAUCUGUAGUGUUGUAAUUUUUUAUUUGUUAUAUGCUCUGUAUAGUCUCCAGGUGCAAGAAAUAUUGAUUCUCUCUUUUUUUACCAGAUUGUUAUGGUUGUUGAUUCAUGAGAUCCAUUGUUCUAUCGCUGUCCUGACCUUGAGGCUAAUGUAAAGGAGGUUGAUGUGCAUGAACGCACAUUGCAUUUGGUUAAUAAGGCAGAUCUUUUACCUGCUUCUGUCAGAGAGAAAUGGGCAGAAUACUUUCGUGCUCAUGAUAUUCUCUUUAUCUUUUGGUCAGCCAAAGCUGCUACUGCUGUUUUGGAAGGCAAAAAACCUGGUUCAUCUCAGACUGAGAACAUGGUAAGUGCAAAUAACCCAGACACGAAGAUAUAUGGAAAAAUGAAUUUUUAGCACGCCUGCAAUCAAGGGCAGAAGAGAUAGUACACAAGAUAUCAAAUUCAGGCUCCUCUGACACAGGGUCAUCCACUCUUGAAUCCUCUGGCUUAAAUGCUUGUUAGUUCAUAGUCAAGUCACGUAGCUGUAGGAUUUGUUGGAUAUCCUAAUGUAGGGAAAAGUUCAACUAUCAGUGCUCUGGUUGGACAAAAUAAAACUGAUGUCACGUCGACCUAAGGAGAAGAGGGCUUAGACAGGAACACCCCUUAUCACCUUUCCCCUUUCUGGUGGCAGCAGAAGGCCUACAUAUGAUGAUGUCGAGAGCAGUUCGGCGAAAAUUUUUGACGGCUAUCGCUUCGGGAGUGAUGGUAUGAAAGUCCCAUUUACAGCAGUAUGCUGACGAAACAAUUAUUGCAGGAGCUAAAAGUUGGAAAAAUGUUUGGGCCAUAAAAGCUACGUUGCAACUAUUCGCACUCGUAUUUGGGCUAAAGAUAAACUUUCACAAGAGCAUGCUAAUCGGCAUUAAUAUAUCUUAAUCCUGGUCGGAGGAAGCAGCGUCACUUUUGCAAUGUAGAGUUGGUACCUUGCCUUUCAAGUAUUUGGGAUUACCGAUUGGUGGAGAUCUGCGCAGGGAGGAUUUUGAAAACUGGUUCUGGAUUCUGCAGGAGUAGGCUGUUUGGGUGGAGCUACAAACCACUUUCUAUUAUAGGUAGAAUUGUCUUGUUGAAAUCUAUUCUGUACGCUUUACUGGUUUAUUUUCUUUCCUGUUUCAAAGCUCCCUCACGUAUAAUCUUUGAACUCAAAUCUUUUUAAAAAUAAAUUAUGGGGUGGGGAUUUGGAUGAUAGGAAAAUAAAUUGGGUUCUGUGGGAGAUAAUUUGUCGUAAAAUGAAAGAUUGGCCUUGCUAGGUAAAUGGGAUUGGAGGAUGAGAUGGGAUUGGAGGAUGAGAAUGGAAAAAAAAUGCCUUUGGUAUAGAGUGUUAGUGAGUAAGUAUGGAGAGUUAAACGGUAGAAUUAAUAGAAAAGGAACAGACUUCUCAAAGUGGUGGAAAGAUAUUUAUAAGAUUGAAAACGGUUUGUAGGGUUCCAAUGCGAACUAGUUCUCUAACAAGUUGAGAUUAAAAGUUAAAAAUGGCGAAGAGGCUUGGUUUUGGGGUAAGAAUAAGUACUCGGUUAAAGAAGCAUACAAAACAAUAAUGGAGGGAAUAUCGCUUGAAAACCAUAGGGGCCUCUCUGUUGCGUGUAAUAACCUGGUCCCGCUGAAGGUAGCGGCAUUGGUAUGGAGACUCUUGCAGAACAAGAUCCCUCGAAGGAUAAUCUCAUUAAGAGAGGUUCUUUGAGCGAGUCUCACUCUGGGGGCUCAGCACUGUGUGGAAUGGCUGAGAGUGCAUCUCACCUAUUUUUUGACUGUCCUCUUUACUCAGCGGCGUGGCACAAAAUCCUUUCUUGGCUGAAUAUUUCCCCUUUCGUGGCACAAAAUCACAUUUGUCAGUUUACAAGGCUGCUAGGCAGAGGUAGGGUGAGGGAUAAAAGAUUUUCUGUUUUAUGGUUUGCUUGUAUUUGGAUUUUAUGGAAAAAGAGAAUGAAAAAGCUUUUUAGAAACUCAAGCGGAUCGGCGGAUGUUUGGAUUGAAGAAAUCCAAGUGUUGGCUUGGAAAUGGUUAAAGUCUAAGCUGUAUGAUUUCAACUACUCCUUAAGAAUCCAUUUGAUUGUUCCAAACGUCUUAGUCUGAGAGUUUCCUCUUGUUUGGGAGCCCCCGAUCUCGUGGUUCUGUCAAUUUUAUUUUCCUACGGCUACAGGUAAAGGACCAUUGCUAGUAUGUUACCCAAGAUCAGAUCAUGCGCUUAUUGAAAUUUCUAGCUGAGUUUUUGCUGCGAUGUCCGCAAUCUGAAGCUUGCGGCAUUGAAGCCCCCGCCGUGUUGGUCAUUUUGGCAGAGACCUUACUGGCUGUGUCAGUUUUCCUUUUCUGUAUUUGUGGUGCUAGGAGCUGGUUCUGGUUUAGCAGUGGUAAGGUUUUCGUGGUGCCUUAUUCCAUUGCUGAGAUUCUGUUUGGUCUUUGGAGUAUUGCAGCAGCUGCAUUUUUGAGUUGAUAACCUGUUGGAAGUUAUCAGAUUUCAGUUGUUUUGGAGCAGCUCUGGUUUCUCCGUGUUUCGCCCUGGUUUAUCGUUGUUUCUGGCUUUGCUUUGUUCCGUCCGGUGUUCGACGAAGUCUCUGUGAAAUAGAUGCUGGUACUUGUUGGGCUGCGAAUUAGGUGGUUGUUCUUGGUGGUGCAGUUUUAGUUUUAUUUGUGGUUACUCCUUGUCUGAUAUUGAUUUUAAGCAGUAGGAGCAUUGGUGUGUUUUGGUAAUUUUUCAAGAGUGAGAGUAUCAUGUACCAAUUAGACAUAUUAGAUGGAAGAAGAAUUGAAUUAAACUUCUUAUAAUCUAAGGCCACUUCCAAAGAGAUUUUUCAAGCCAUUUUUCCAGCAUGGCAUUCCGAAACAAGUUUUUACCAUUAGAGAAAGUUAUUUCUCCAGCUGACAAUAUUGUU